rnacentral:lncRNA from 1 species
UAAAAACAUGUCCUUGUUUGGGUUGCAUUCCUUCAAUACUAGCAAGAUUUAGGUCUUGGUAGCUCAUUGCCCCCCAGGUGAGGGAUGUGCAGAUGUUUGACACGAAGAUGCCUGGCCUCUGGGGAGUGAAGACUGAUGGAAACUCUUGGCCCAUUGAUGGCAUGGCCAAAUGCAAGAACCCCAUUCUGAACACUUGUGAACAUUUGUGAAAAAUCAGACUGGGCAUGACCUUGUCUGCCUGAAAGACCCUCCUCUUUGCAUAGGAUUUCUGCUAACAGGAGAUAAUGGCAGCUUCUCCUAGGGAAAACAGUGAAGGGUACUUCAGAAACACAACAGCUAUUGAAUGUUAUUUUCUGAUUAGUGCAGUUAAAUAAUGAGAAGGACUCGUAGCAGUAUUACCAUUUCCACUUGUCACUCAAAAUCAUGGCAGUAUUAUUGCAAAAGAGAAGUUCCCGCUGCAUUAGCAACUCGUAUUUCUGACGCAGGAAGAGGAGUUAAACCACCAUGCGCACAAAGUCUUUCUGCCUCUGCCCCAGCAUAUUGGAAGGACAGAAGACAAAAGAAUAAAGAAAAUGAACAGGCUUUAAAAAGUUGGGUCAUAGCCUUCAUAUAGAAGGUAGGUCAAGCAAAAAGAUUUCUAGAGAGCUAGCAGCUUUGGAAAAGAAAGAAAUGUGUACUGUGUCUGUGCAAAGGAUGGAUAAGGAAACAACUUCACUAAAUCAUGUGUACAUGCUGGAACUGAACAAAAUCUUGAGUUGACAGCCUGAUAUUGAGAAUAAGAAGACAUUUUAUGCAUAGCACCAGGAGUGCAAGAACUGAGACAUAGGGAGCAAGGAUGUAAAAUGUAAUGAGAAAACAUUUUAUGAGUACACUAAUAGUAAGGGGAAGACUAAGAUAUUAUUAAAAAGAAUGUGUUUGAAUGUUUGGGUGGGUUAGAGCCUUCACACUGAAUGGACUUGAAACUUCUUCAAGAGUACCUGGAGAACAAACAUGAACGAUGUUAAAGUCAUUAGCUGUUAUUCUGGAAAAUUAUUCAGAAAGGGUGACAUUCUAGAGAGGGCAAACAUAUUUACCUAUCUUUAAAUGCAGUAAAGAAGAAAAAGAAAAUUACAGACCAGACAGCUCAACUUGAAUGUCUGGAAUGGUCACAGAAGAAACAGUCAAAAAGCUAGGGACAUAGCUAAACAACAAAUAACAGCCAGAAUAAAUUUGGGGAAAAAAAUCA